rnacentral:rRNA from 1 species
GACGAACGCUGGCGGCGUGCUUAACACAUGCAAGUCGAACGGAAAGGCCCUGCUUUUGUGGGGUGCUAGAGUGGCGAACGGGUGAGUAACAUGUGAGUAACCUGCCCUUGACUUUGGGAUAACUUCAGGAAACUGGGGCUAAUACCGGAUAGGAGCUCCUGCUGCAUGGUGGGGGUUGGACAGCUUCGGCGGUUGGGGAUGGACUCGCGGCUUACCAGCUUGUUGGUGGGGUAGUGGCUAACCAAGGCUUGGGCGGGUAGCCGGCCUGAGAGGGUGAGCGGCCACAUUGGGACUGAGAUGCGGCCCAGACUCCUACGGGAGGCAGCAGUGGGGAAUAUUGCACCAUGGGCGGAGGCCUUAUGCAGCAACGCCGCGUGCGGGAUGACGGCCUUCGGGGUGUAAACCGCUUGCGCCUGUGACGAAGCGUGAGUGACGGUAAUGGGUAAAGAAGCACCGGCUAACUACGUG